UACGUAGGGUGCAAGCGUUGUCCGGAAUUAUUGGGCGUAAAGAGCUCGUAGGCGGCCUGUCGCAUCGGCUGUGAAAACUCAGGGCUCAACCCUGAGCCUGCAGUCGAUACGGGCAGGCUAGAGUCCGGCAGGGGGAGACUGGAAUUCCUGGUGUAGCGGUGAAAUGCGCAGAUAUCAGGAGGAACACCGGUGGCGAAGGCGGGUCUCUGGGCCGGAACUGGACGCUGGAGGAGCGAAAGCGUGGGGAGCGAACAGG
rnacentral:rRNA from 1 species